rnacentral:rRNA from 1 species
AGCUCCAAUAGCGUAUAUUAAAGUUGUUGCAGUUAAAAAGCUCGUAGUUGGAUUUGUGGUGGUGCCUGAGGUCCAUUUGUUGGUACUAUCGGGCGCCGCCAUCCUUGGGUGGAACCUGUGUGGCAUUAGGUUGUCGUGCAGGGGAUGCCCAUCGUUUACUGUGAAAAAAUCAGCGCGUUCAAAGCAGGCUUAUGCCGUUGAAUGUAUUAGCAUGGAAUAAUAAGAUAGGACCUUGGUACUAUUUUGUUGGUUUGCGCACCGAGGUAAUGAUUAAUAGGGACAGUUGGGGGUAUUCGUAUUCCAUUGUCAGAGGUGAAAUUCUUGGAUUUCUGGAAGACGAACUACUGCGAAAGCAUUUACCAAGGAUGUUUUCA